rnacentral:rRNA from 1 species
AUCAUUUAGCGGAGGAAAAGAAACUAACAAGGAUUCCCUUAGUAACGGCGAGUGAACGGGGAGAAGCCCAGCGCUGAAUCUUUCGGUGUUACACCGUUAAGAAAUGUAGCGUAUAGAUGUGAUUUUCAGUUUGUGCUGCAUGUCCAAAGUCCCUUUGAUAGGGGCCACAUUCCUGAGAGGGUGCGAGACCUGUGCGGACAGUGGAGCAAGCUGUACGAUUAUAUCUUAGAGUCGGGUUGCUUGAAAGUGCAGCCUAAAGUGGGUGAUAAACUUCAUCUAAGGCUAAAUAUAGACGCGAAUUCGAUAGCAAACAAGUACUGUGAAGGAAAGU